CUGGAACUGAGACACGGUCCAGACUCCUACGGGAGGCAGCAGUGGGGAAUAUUGCGCAAUGGGGGAAACCCUGACGCAGCAACGCCGCGUGGGUGAUGAAUGUCUUCGGAUUGUAAAGCCCUGUUUUCUGGGACGAUAAUGACGGUACCAGAGGAGGAAGCCACGGCUAACUACGUGCCAGCAGCCGCGGUAAUACGUAGGUGGCGAGCGUUGUCCGGAUUUACUGGGCGUAAAGGGUGCGUAGGCGGAUGUUUAAGUGGGAUGUGAAAUCCCCGGGCUUAACCUGGGGGCUGCAUUCCAAACUGGAUAUCUAGAGUGCAGGAGAGGAAAGCGGAAUUCCUAGUGUAGCGGUGAAAUGCGUAGAGAUUAGGAAGAACACCAGUGGCGAAGGCGGCUUUCUGGACUGUAACUGACGCUGAGGCACGAAAGCGUGGGUAGCAAACAGGAUUAGAUACCCUGGUAGUCCACGCCGUAAACGAUGGAUACUAGGUGUAGGGGGUAUCAACUCCCCCUGUGCCGCAGUUAACACAAUAAGUAUCCCGCCUGGGGAGUACGGUCGCAAGAUUAAAACUCAAAGGAAUUGACGGGGGCCCGCACAAGCAGCGGAGCAUGUGGUUUAAUUCGAAGCAACGCGAAGAACCUUACCUGGACUUGACAUCCCUUGCAUAGCCUAGAGAUAGGUGAAGCCCUUCGGGGCAAGGAGACAGGUGGUGCAUGGUUGUCGUCAGCUCGUGUCGUGAGAUGUUAGGUUAAGUCCUGCAACGAGCGCAACCCUUGUUAUUAGUUGCUACCAUUAAGUUGAGCACUCUAAUGAGACUGCCUGGGUAACCAGGAGGAAGGUGGGGAUGACGUCAAAUCAUCAUGCCCCUUAUGUCCAGGGCUACACACGUGCUACAAUGGUAGGUACAAUAAGACGCAAGACCGUGAGGUGGAGCAAAACUUAUAAAACCUAUCUCAGUUCGGAUUGUAGGCUGCAACUCGCCUACAUGAAGCUGGAGUUGCUAGUAAUCGCGAAUCAGAAUGUCGCGGUGAAUACGUUCCCGGGCCUUGUACACACCGCCCGUCACACCAUGAGAGCUGGUAACACCCGAAGUCCGUGAGGUAACCGUAAGGAGCCAGCGGCCGAAGGUGGGAUUAGUGAUUGGGGUGAAGUCGUAACAAGGUAGCCGUAGGAGAACCUGCGGCUG
rnacentral:rRNA from 1 species